rnacentral:rRNA from 1 species
ACAGUGGACGCGAGCAUCUGUGGCCAAGUUUUUAAGGGCGCACGGUGGAUGCCUUGGCACCAGGAACCGAUGAAGGACGUGGGAGGCCACGAUAGUCCCCGGGGAGUCGUCAACCAGGCUUUGAUCCGGGGGUUUCCGAAUGGGGAAACCCGGCAGUCGUCAUGGGCUGUCACCCGCUGCUGAACACAUAGGCAGUGUGGAGGGAACGCGGGGAAGUGAAACAUCUCAGUACCCGCAGGAAGAGAAAACAACCGUGAUUCCGGGAGUAGUGGCGAGCGAAACCGGAUGAGGCCAAACCGUAUGCGUGUGAGACCCGGCAGGGGUUGCGCAUUCGGGGUUGUGGGAUCUCUCUUGAUCAGUCUGCCGGCUGGUCGACGAGUCAGAAACCGUUGAUGUAGGCGAAGGACAUGCGAAAGGUCCGGCGUAGAGGGUAAGACCCCCGUAGUCGAAACGUCAGCGGCUCGUUUGAGAGACACCCAAGUAGCACGGGGCCCGAGAAAUCCCGUGUGAAUCUGGCGGGACCACCCGCUAAGCCUAAAUAUUCCCUGGUGACCGAUAGCGGAUAGUACCGUGAGGGAAUGGUGAAAAGUACCGCGGGAGCGGAGUGAAAUAGUACCUGAAACCGUGUGCCUACAAGCCGUGGGAGCGUCGGGCAAGCACUUGUGCUUGCCUCGUGACUGCGUGCCUUUUGAAGAAUGAGCCUGCGAGUUUGCGGUGUGUUGCGAGGUUAACCCGUGUGGGGAAGCCGUAGCGAAAGCGAGUCCGAAUAGGGCGAUUCAGUAGCGCGCUCAAGACCCGAAGCGGAGUGAUCUAGCCAUGGGCAGGUUGAAGCGGAGGUAAGACUUCGUGGAGGACCGAACCCACCAGGGUUGAAAACCUGGGGGAUGACCUGUGGUUAGGGGUGAAAGGCCAAUCAAACUCCGUGAUAGCUGGUUCUCCCCGAAAUGCAUUUAGGUGCAGCGUCGUGUGUUUCUUGCCGGAGGUAGAGCACUGGAUAGGCGAUGGGCCCUACCGGGUUACUGACCUUAGCCAAACUCCGAAUGCCGGUAAGUGAGAGCGCGGCAGUGAGACUGUGGGGGAUAAGCUCCAUGGUCGAGAGGGAAACAGCCCAGAGCAUCGACUAAGGCCCCUAAGCGUACGCUAAGUGGGAAAGGAUGUGGAGUCGCAGAGACAACCAGGAGGUUGGCUUAGAAGCAGCCACCCUUGAAAGAGUGCGUAAUAGCUCACUGGUCUAGUGAUUCCGCGCCGACAAUGUAGCGGGGCUCAAGCGUACCGCCGAAGUCGUGUCAUUCCAGCAUGUACUCCCAACGGAGGCUGGGAUGGGUAGGGGAGCGUCGUCUGCCGGGUGAAGCAGCCGCGGAAGCGAGUUGUGGACGGUUGACGAGUGAGAAUGCAGGCAUGAGUAGCGAUUCACACGUGAGAAACGUGUGCGCCGAUUGACUAAGGGUUCCUGGGUCAAGCUGAUCUGCCCAGGGUAAGGGUGUAGGACGGUGUGUAGGCAAAUCCGCACACCAUGUGUCUGAGACCUGAUGCCGAGCCGAUUGUGGUGAAGUGGAUGAUCCUAUGCUGUCGAGAAAAGCCUCUAGCGAGUUUCAUGGCGGCCCGUACCCUAAACCGACUCAGGUGGUCAGGUAGAGAAUACCGAGGCGUUCGGGUGAACUAUGGUUAAGGAACUCGGCAAAAUGCCCCCGUAACUUCGGGAGAAGGGGGGCCAUCACUGGUGAUCCAAUUUACUUGGUGAGCUGGGGGUGGCCGCAGAGACCAGCGAGAAGCGACUGUUUACUAAAAACACAGGUCCGUGCGAAGCCGUAAGGCGAUGUAUACGGACUGACGCCUGCCCGGUGCUGGAACGUUAAGGGGACCGGUUAGUCGAGAUUCGUCUCGGCGAAGCUGAGAACUUAAGCGCCAGUAAACGGCGGUGGUAACUAUAACCAUCCUAAGGUAGCGAAAUUCCUUGUCGGGUAAGUUCCGACCUGCACGAAUGGCGUAACGACUUCUCGACUGUCUCAACCAUAGGCCCGGUGAAAUUGCACUACGAGUAAAGAUGCUCGUUUCGCGCAGCAGGACGGAAAGACCCCGGGACCUUUACUACAGUUUGAUAUUGGUGUUCGGUUCGGCUUGUGUAGGAUAGCUGGGAGACUGUGAAGCUCGGACGCCAGUUCGGGUGGAGUCGUCGUUGAAAUACCAGUCUGGUCGUGCUGGAUGUCUAACCUGGGUCCGUGAUCCGGAUCAGGGACAGUGUCUGAUGGGUAGUUUAACUGGGGCGGUUGCCUCCUAAAGGGUAACGGAGGCGCCCAAAGGUUCCCUCAGCCUGGUUGGCAAUCAGGUGUUGAGUGUAAGUGCACAAGGGAGCUUGACUGUGAGACCGACGGGUCGAGCAGGGACGAAAGUCGGGACUAGUGAUCCGGCGGUGGCUUGUGGAAGCGCCGUCGCUCAACGGAUAAAAGGUACCCCGGGGAUAACAGGCUGAUCUUCCCCAAGAGUCCAUAUCGACGGGAUGGUUUGGCACCUCGAUGUCGGCUCGUCGCAUCCUGGGGCUGGAGUCGGUCCCAAGGGUUGGGCUGUUCGCCCAUUAAAGCGGUACGCGAGCUGGGUUUAGAACGUCGUGAGACAGUUCGGUCCCUAUCCGCUGUGCGCGUAGGAGUCUUGAGAAGGGCUGUCCCUAGUACGAGAGGACCGGGACGGACGAACCUCUGGUGUGCCAGUUGUUCUGCCAAGGGCAUGGCUGGUUGGCUACGUUCGGGAGGGAUAACCGCUGAAAGCAUCUAAGCGGGAAGCCUGCUUCGAGAUGAGGACUCCCACCCACUUGAUGGGGUAAGGCUCCCAGUAGACGACUGGGUUGAUAGGCCGGAUCUGGAAGCACAGUAAUGUGUGGAGGUGACCGGUACUAAUAGGCCGAGGGCUUGUCCUCAGUUG